rnacentral:miRNA from 1 species
CCUUGCAACACAAACAGGAGACA